GUUUUAUAAUGUGCCAAAUGGAUGAGACCUGUUACUGGGGUCCUACAGCAGAGGCUUUACGCUGUACUCACGGGCAAACAGGCGCUAAGCAGAAUUAGCUGGAAGUUGAAGGGGUGGACUUGAGUUUUUGACAUGUCUGGAACUUUUUUGCUACCGGGUAUAUGAUUUUAUCUGGAUGGCUUGCUUGGGGUGCAGAUUUCAGAGAGCUUUUGUAUAAAGGUGUGAAGAGAUGGGUUGCUACAAGACAUGGAAGAAGGAGU